UGGGGAAUUUUGGACAAUGGGCGAAAGCCUGAUCCAGCAAUGCCGCGUGUGUGAAGAAGGCCUUCGGGUUGUAAAGCACUUUUGUCCGGAAAGAAAUCCUUGGCUCUAAUACAGUCGGGGGAUGACGGUACCGGAAGAAUAAGCACCGGCUAACUACGUGCCAGCAGCCGCGGUAAUACGUAGGGUGCAAGCGUUAAUCGGAAUUACUGGGCGUAAAGCGUGCGCAGGCGGUUUGCUAAGACCGAUGUGAAAUCCCCGGGCUCAACCUGGGAACUGCAUUGGUGACUGGCAGGCUAGAGUAUGGCAGAGGGGGGUAGAAUUCCACGUGUAGCAGUGAAAUGCGUAGAGAUGUGGAGGAAUACCGAUGGCGAAGGCAGCCCCCUGGGCCAAUACUGACGCUCAUGCACGAAAGCGUGGGGAGCAAACAGGAUUAGAUACCCUGGUAGUCCACGCCCUAAACGAUGUCAACUAGUUGUUGGGGAUUCAUUUCCUUAGUAACGUAGCUAACGCGUGAAGUUG
rnacentral:rRNA from 1 species